CUACGGGUGGCUGCAGUGGGGAAUAUUGGACAAUGGGCGAAAGCCUGAUCCAGCAAUACCGCGUGAAUGAUGAAGGCCCUAGGGUUGUAAAGUUCUUUUAGUUGGGAAGAUAAUGACGGUACCAACAAAAAAAGCCCCGGCUAACUCCGUGCCAGCAGCCGCGGUAAGACGGAGGGGGCUAGCGUUGUUCGGAAUUACUGGGCGUAAAGGGCGCGUAGGCGGAUUAGUAAGUUGGGAGUGAAAGCCCGGGGCUUAACCUCGGAACUGCUUUCAAAACUGCUAGUCUUGAGUGAAGUAGGGGGUGAUGGAAUUCCUAGUGUAGGGGUGAAAUUCUUAGAUAUUAGGAGGAACACCGGUGGCGAAGGCGGUCAUCUGGACUUCAACGGACGCUGAGGCGCGAAAGCGUGGGGAGCAAACAGGAUUAGAUACCCCCGUAGUC
rnacentral:rRNA from 1 species